rnacentral:rRNA from 1 species
AAUCAACGCUGGCGGCGUGCCUAACACAUGCAAGUCGAACGAGAAAGGGGACUUGGUCCCUGAGUACAGUGGCGCACGGGUGAGUAACACGUGACUUAUCUACCCUCGAGUGGGGAAUAACUUCGGGAAACCGAGGCUAAUACCGCAUAAUACCCACGGGUCAAAGGAGCAAUUCGCUUGAGGAGGAGGUCGCGGCCGAUUAGUUAGUUGGCGGGGUAAUGGCCCACCAAGACGGUGAUCGGUAUCCGGCCUGAGAGGGCGCACGGACACACUGGAACUGAAACACGGUCCAGACUCCUACGGGAGGCAGCAGUGGGGAAUUUUGCGCAAUGGGGGAAGCCCUGACGCAGCAACGCCGCGUGGAGGAUGAAGUCUCUUGGGACGUAAACUCCUUUCGAUCGGGACGAUUAUGACGGUACCGGAAGAAGAAGCCCCGGCUAACUUCGUG